ACACUUUUCGUGAUGUUAUUAUAUUAUUGUGAAUGAAUAUAUAUAUAUGGAUUAAGAUGAAUAUAUAUAUAUAGAGCUAGGCUGGUAUACUAUCGGUAGCACGGAGAUCUCCGUGCUACCAAGUUGUUUUCAAUGAUACAGCUUCUAAAUCGACGAUCGGCUUCGUUAGACUUGAUCUACGCUAUUAAAAGUAUUUAGAAAUUAAAUUUCAUAAUUUUUCAACAUCAUUUGACUUGUGAUCAAAAGGUCUCAAAAUUGAUAAUUUUAACGGUAGAUUUGAUGCGUUUGUGAAUUUAACGGUGUAAACCAAUCCAAAUCUGAUGAAAUUUUUAUAGAAAAUUCUUUUCACUAUUUAAAGUAAUAUCAGCACCUCUGAUCUUAAAUUCAAGUCUUUUAUCAUCAUUUUUUAUGAUAUUUUUAUUUUCAGCCGUUCAUUUUUAGACUACUCGUUUGAUAGGUAAAUGAUGCCGAAAAAUUGUGAAAUUUAGAUUCCAAAUACUUUCAAUAAUGUAGAUCAAGUUUAACAGAGCCGAUCGUCGAUUUGGAAGCCACAGCAUUGAAAACAAUUUGGUAGCACGGAGGUCUCCGUGCUACCAAUAGUAUACCAGCCUAACUAUAUAUAUAU
rnacentral:lncRNA from 1 species